rnacentral:rRNA from 1 species
GUGGGGAAUAUUGGACAAUGGGCGAAAGCCUGAUCCAGCCAUGCCGCGUGUGUGAAGAAGGUCUUCGGAUUGUAAAGCACUUUAAGUUGGGAGGAAGGGCAGUAAGUUAAUACCUUGCUGUUUUGACGUUACCGACAGAAUAAGCACCGGCUAACUUCGUGCCAGCAGCCGCGGUAAUACGAAGGGUGCAAGCGUUAAUCGGAAUUACUGGGCGUACAGCGCGCGUAGGUGGUUUUGUAAGUUGGAGGUGAAAUCCCCGGGCUCAACCUGGGAACUGCCUCCAAAACUGCAUGACUAGAGUACGGUAGAGGGUAGUGGAAUUUCCUGUGUAGCGGUGAAAUGCGUAGAUAUAGGAAGGAACACCAGUGGCGAAGGCGACUACCUGGACUGAUACUGACACUGAGGUGCGAAAGCGUGGGGAGCAAACAGGAUUAGAUACCCGAGUAGUCC